rnacentral:lncRNA from 1 species
UGUUGAGUAAACUAAUGAAUAAAUCUUUUUCUUAUCUGCCAGGAUAAGCUGUCAACUUUCAAAUUCUCAUUGGCUUCCCAGGUGAGUCAUGGGCCGUUUGCCCCUAUAGCCCUGGGCUACCUUCUCACGUGAGGGCGUCUCAGCUCCUGAGACAGAGAGGGUUCAUUAGGGUCCUUGCUGAGCCAACAUCUGUCACAGCCCUCCCUCGCUGUGCUGUUGGUCAACCAAACCAGCCCUAGACACGCAGCUGGGUGGCACCUCCACACCUGUCGAUGGCUCAGGUCAAGACGGGGACCACCUGGAGGCUUGGCCCUGUCAGGUCCCACUCAACCCCACCCCUGCCUGCCACACAGAAGCAACCUCUGUUCUGAGCUUUCACACAGAAGUUGGUUUUGCCUGAUCUUGAACUUGGUGUGAGUAAGCCAGGUGCUCUUCUGGGCAGCUUCUUCCCCGGGCGCCUGUGGGUCUCUCUGUGAUUGGGCGCACAGCGUUCUCCCCCCUUUAUUGCUGUGUGGGUGUGGCACAGUGAGGUCCCCACAUCACCGCGGUGAGUGACAUUGUGUACAGAGCGCCUGCUGCUUCUCUUGUUUUUUUGGGUCCUCAUUUCUCUGGCCGCGAGGGCUAGGCUCAGGGCAGGAUGAGUUUGACCCGUUUUCCAAAGUGGGGGUGUGAAUCGAUCGUGCUACACGUCUUUUUCAAUAUUGGAGUUGUCAGUUUUAGCCGCUGUGGUGGGUGCGGUGCUAUCGCUGUGCUAGUUUUAAUUUGCACUCCCUGAUGCACCGCGACCACCUUUCCUAGGAUCAGGCUACUCGGUGAAUGUGAAUGCAGUAGCUUUUUAAUUUUUUCUUUUUUUCUUUGUUUAUUACUAGAGACAAGCAAAUAAAAUUUUUGUAAGUUGAGCAGACCUAAGUUUUAGACUUAAAUACGAUAUUCUAAGAGGGACCAAUUCAUUGGUUUUAUACCUACAAGAACACUUCCUGGGAAUUAACGAUCUCUUGGAACUGAUCAGCUUUGGGCAAAGAAACCAGUUUUCUUAAAAAAAAAAAAAAAGCCUGACCACGUGUCCUAGCUCAACAUGUUAAAACUGGGUGAACACAGCAGCCCGGGAACCGGAAACUCCAGCCAGACCUGGUACAACCGCCCCCGGCUAAUGUAGGACAUCCCACAACCCAGUGCAUGGUCAGUACUGCGGCAACUCAGGUGCUGCUGAGCAAAGUCAUCUCCCGGCUACCCAGUGUUGCUGGGGAGUGCUCUCCCUGGCUUGGCCUCUGGCAUCUGGCCACAAAAAAGCUCUGUGCACUCAACUGCUGCAGGGUGGAGUCACCACGCCUAGGGGCUUCUGCUUCUUAUCCACUAGGGGUUUUCAGUGCCCUGGACAGAGUCCUUUCUGACCACGGGUCGUGCGCAUCUUCUCCCAGGCCCUCUCUCUUGUACCUCCAAUGCUGUCUUUUGAGGAACACAGUUCAUUUUAAUGAAGUCCAAUUUAUCUGUCUUUUCUUCCAUGCUUAAUGCUUCUCUGUCCUGGGUUAGGGAGCUUUGCCUCACCCCCUCUACAUUCCCUGGACCCUUAGAUUAUUUUUUAUUUUUAUUUUUUUAAAGAGAGAGAGAGAAAUUUUUUUUUUGAUAUUUAUUUAUUUAUUUUAGUUCUCGGCGGACACAACAUCUUUGUUGGUAUGUGGUGCUGAGGAUCUAACCCGGGCCGCACGCAUGCCAGGCGAGUGCGCUACCGCUUGAGCCACAUCCCCAGGCCGACCCUUAGAUUAUUUGAUGGCAACUGUGCUGUUGGUCUGCUCUGCGUUUCUGACCCCCAGCAAACUGUGUUCUUCCAAGCCUUUCUUUUCUACCUGGAGCAGCGCUGUGCCAGGGACACAUCUCUUCCUGCUCCCGUUCUCUGGCCUGUCCACCUGGUGUGCUCUGCUCAGCCCACUCGCAGUCUCUGCGCCAGAAUGGAGCUGGCCUGGUGCUGUUUGGUGCAGCUGUGCUUGGAGGAGGGCACUGAUGUGACCAGGGACGUGGUCUUCAGCAG